AGCAACUUUCACUUUUUCAAAUGGUUUUAAUUCUCCCUUCUCUCAUGAUAGUAGUCUGUCAUAUGCUGUUGGAGAACUUCACUGCAGCUAUUCCUGGUCAUCGCUGCUGGGUCCACAUCCUCGAUAAUGCCACUGUCUCAGAUAAUGACACUGGGAUCCUCAGCCCUGAUGUCCUUCUGAGAAUCUCCAUCCCCUUGGAUUCGAACUUGAAGCCAGAGAAAUGUCAUCACUUCCUCUGCCCCCAGUGCAGCUCCUUCACCUGAAUGGGUCCUCCCCCAAUGUGAGUGAGCAGAACACGGAACCCUGUGUGGACGGCUGGGUGUAUGACCUCAGCUUGUUCUCUUCCACCAUUGUGACUGAGAUCAAGGCCUCAUUUACCUCUUAUAACUAUAUGAUCUCUGUGUUUAGAAUAACGUAAAGUAAACAGGGUUCAGGUUUUCAAUUACUGAGUAGAUAGUAUAGUCAAUUGCCUUUCAUUCUUUUAUGGGACCUUGUAUGUGAUUAUCAAUCACAGAAAUCAGUGGUUCAGUCCCUAUUCAUGGCUGGAAUGCUGGUGGGAUGCCUCAUAUAUGGCCAUCUCACAGACAGAUUCAGUAACAUAUGUGGGAUUGACACUCAUGCUGGAAAAGGCUGUGUGGACUCUGC